UAAUAGCCCAGAUGGAAGUGGAAAGCUUACAGCUAUAAAAAACUAAUUUUUCCUGUUAUAAAAGAGCGACCAGCGGAAGCUCCUUUUAUGACAUAGAAAAAUAGUUUUUUAUGGCUGUGACUUGUAACGCACAGCUGGAGACUGC
rnacentral:sRNA from 1 species